rnacentral:rRNA from 1 species
UACGUAGGGUGCAAGCGUUAAUCGGAAUUACUGGGCGUAAAGCGUGCGCAGGCGGUUUUGUAAGUCUGUCGUGAAAUCCCCGGGCUUAACCUGGGAAUGGCGAUGGAGACUGCAAGGCUAGCGUUUGGCAGAGGGGGGUAGAAUUCCACGUGUAGCAGUGAAAUGCGUAGAGAUGUGGAGGAACACCGAUGGCGAAGGCAGCCCCCUGGGUCAAAACUGACGCUCAUGCACGAAAGCGUGGGGAGCAAACAGG